UCUCUCUUGGAGUUAUACCUGGAGAGUUUUGAGUACUCUACUAGUCUCGGUUAUGGGAGGAAGAGUCAAGCAGAGUCAUAUCCAUUCUAUUCCUAGCUUGGCCAGUGGCUAGCGAGUGGAAGGCAAUCUGCUACAAGU